rnacentral:rRNA from 1 species
UACGAAGGGGGCUAGCGUUGCUCGGAAUCACUGGGCGUAAAGCGCACGUAGGCGGAUCUUUAAGUCAGGGGUGAAAUCCUGGAGCUCAACUCCAGAACUGCCUUUGAUACUGGGGAUCUCGAGUCCGGAAGAGGUGAGUGGGAACUCCGAGUGUAGAGGUGAAAUUCGUAGAUAUUCGGAAGAACACCAGUGGCGAAGGCGGCUCACUGGUCCGGUACUGACGCUGAGGUGCGAAAGCCAGGGG